rnacentral:rRNA from 1 species
GUAGUCUGCAACUCGACUACAUGAAGCCGGAAUCGCUAGUAAUCGCGGAUCAGAAUGCCGCGGUGAAUACGUUCCCGGGCCUUGUACACACCGCCCGUCACACCAUGAGAGUUGGCAAUACCCAACGUACGUGAUCUAACCCGCAAGGGAGGAAGCGUCCUAAGGUAGGGUCAGCGAUUGGGGUGAAGUCGUAACAAGGUAUC